rnacentral:lncRNA from 1 species
AUGACGAGCACGAACGACAAUGCACUUCACGAUGCCUUUGCAGAAAUAUACGCGGCCAAAGCUGAGAAAAUCAUCAUCAACACCACAGAUUUCGAGGUUGUCACCCAUUCGUCCAGCUACAUCGAUAAAACUCCUCUCAUUUUGAAUCUGCUCCCGCUUCCAUCCCAUAUCGUCAUCCACGGCCCGCGGGGUUUUUCCAAAUCCACAAAUUUAAAAAUGCUCAAAACUUUCUUCGAGCACGAGUUGGGCGAAAACCACCUAGCGAAAGAUCCCCAAAAAACCCAUAAACUAGGACUGUUCAGAGACAAAAGUAUAUUCUCCAACGGAACACUAUUCUGGAAGCAUUUUGCAAGAUACCCAGUCAUUUACCUCGACUUAGGUUCGGUGAAAACUAAAACUUUUCACGAUUUCACGACCUCUUUCAUCGAGCAUUGCGUUCAUCCUCUGAUGGCCAAAUUUAGUUACUUACUCAACAAUACAAAAAUCUGGGAGUCUUCAACGCUGAAGACUGUGAGUUUCUCGAAAAGCUACGAGUGGAAGAAAGAGGAGUUGAUAAAAUUCGGGGUCAAUCUCGCGGAACUCAUCCGGCGACACCAUGAUACAAAGAACAUCCUCCUUAUAGAUGAUUACGACCAUCCUGUUAUUUCUGCCGUCCUUGAUACGCAUGUGUCGGAAGACGACACCAUUAACAUAAUCGAAUUUAUGGGAGCCUUCGUAACGCCAUGACCAAGCAUAGCGACCACAUAUACCGCUCGGUGCUCACAGGUACCAUAGCAGUCACCCUGGAGUACGGUAUGUACUAACUUUCAUUAUUGUUUAAUAGAAAACUUGAACAAUAAAAAAUAAAAAUUAGAAUCCAAGUAGCACAGUGCAACGAAAAUAUUGAAAUUAAAGUGGAAUUUGAUUUCAAUAAAAAAGUAAUUUUUUUACCAUUAAGGUCUCGAUACACGAUCAGAUUCCCGAACCAAUUACCACCAAAGCGUCGGGAGUCAUCAGUCUUAAAAUCAUUAAUUUGCUUAAUUUUAAAAUGAAAACUUGGCAGAAAUGUUUAAUUGUUUACUGUGGCAGGAAAUAAUGAAUGACGGCACUCCAUUCUGAUCAAAAUUUGACGGCCCGUCCAAUUUUGAUCAAAGAGGACUGUUGCAUGGUGACCAUCAGUCUGUUUAACUGUCAGUCAAUUUAACUGCAAUAAGUUUCAAUAAAGGGGGCCCUUCAAAUAGGAUCCAGGCAACAUACAUAACACUCAGUGGAAUUGCAAUAUUUUUACGAUGCAAUUGCUACUUAUUGCAAUCUGUGCUACUUGGGAAGGGGUCUGUUGCACGCAUGAGACCGUGCCUAUAAAAACAUUCCAGGGGUGAAGCGGCACGAAAAUCUCGACGGCCACACUAAAAAAGUCUGAAAUGCACUCCUCAAUAAUUUGCAUGGUUUGGGACUACAUACAUAAGAGUCGCUCUCACAGCGCUCUCCGGCGCUCUGCGACGCCUAAACGCCACAAAACUCGGUCCUCCCACAGAUCAUCAGGGGGUUUGGGACUAGCUUUUUCCAAUUUCUCGUGUCCUGGGGGCAGUUCCCAGUCACCGUAUCUGGAAACAAGGAACGGCGACUCGCGGCAACUUCCGGUCAGAGGGAACUGACAACUUUCAGACUAAACAGCAACUUUCUACGUUGAAUAUUAACCGAGCUAUC